AGCUCUAAUAGCGUAUAUUAAAGUUGUUGCAGUUAAAAAGCUCGUAGUCGGAUGUCGGGCUCGGGCAGGCUGUCGGCUUCGGUCGGACGGCAGGCUCGGGUCUUUCUGCCUGAGGAUCCCGUGCACUUUAUUGUGGGCGGGGGACGCAGGCCGUUUACUUUGAAAAAAUUAGAGUGUUCAAAGCAGGCCUACGCUUGAAUACAUUAGCAUGGAAUAAUGGAAUAGGACUUUGGUGCUAUUUUGUUGGUUUAUGGGACCGAAGUAAUGAUUAACAGGGACAGUUGGGGCCGUUUAUAUUUCGUUGUCAGAGGUGAAAUUCUUGGAUUUACGAAAGAUAAACUUCUGCGAAAGCAUUCGGCAAGGAUGUUUUCA
rnacentral:rRNA from 1 species